UACGUAGGGUGCAAGCGUUGUCCGGAAUUAUUGGGCGUAAAGAGCUCGUAGGCGGUUUGUCGCGUCUGCUGUGAAAACCCGCAGCUCAACUGUGGGCUUGCAGCUGAUACGGGCAGGCUUGAGUUCGGUAGGGGAGACUGGAAUUCCUGGUGUAGCGGUGAAAUGCGCAGAUAUCAGGAGGAACACCGGUGGUGUAAACGGCUUUCUGGACCAUAACUGACGCUGAGGCACGAAAGCGUGGGUAGCAAACAGG
rnacentral:rRNA from 1 species